CCAUCAGGAGGAAACAGCUGUCUCUCUAUUACUACACUAAAGUCUCUGUCACAUAACCCUGCAUGGCAGCGUUUUCGAUCCCGCAUUUCCUAAAAUGUUCGCUGCUCAACUUUCAUGUGUUCCUUCGUUCGAUCUUCGAAUGCAAGAAUUACUCAACGAGAUCGUUAUUGAUGUAUCAGCGAUAUGUAAAUCUGAACACCUCUCCAUUGCACCUUGGAACGUGUCCUACAUAGUGGUGGAUCUCAGCCUUCAAUCACUUCCUAAAGAUUCCACCCCAGACUGCCUUUCAGGCAACAUCUCUUUGCAGAUAUCCACCAACUGAACACAGAC
rnacentral:lncRNA from 1 species